rnacentral:rRNA from 1 species
UACAGAGGGUGCAAGCGUUAAUCGGAAUUACUGGGCGUAAAGCGCGCGUAGGUGGUUCGUUAAGUUGGAUGUGAAAUCCCCGGGCUCAACCUGGGAACUGCAUUCAAAACUGACGAGCUAGAGUAUGGUAGAGGGUGGUGGAAUUUCCUGUGUAGCGGUGAAAUGCGUAGAUAUAGGAAGGAACACCAGUGGCGAAGGCGACCACCUGGACUGAUACUGACACUGAGGUGCGAAGGCUAGGGUAGCAAACAGG